AGUCGUAACAAGGUCUCCGUAGGUGAACCUGCGGAGGGAUCAUUAAUGAGAACUUGCCCUAACGGGUAAAUCUCCCACCCUUUGUUAACCAAACAUUGUUGCUUUGUCUGGCCCGACCUCGGUCCGGCGCCUCGGCUGGCUCGAGCGGCGACAGAGGCAAGCUAAAACCGUUUAAUCAAACCUUGUCGUCAGAGUACUAUAUAAUAGUUAAAA
rnacentral:misc_RNA from 1 species